GAAAAAUAUCACACCCUCAAGCACUUCUAGGAGCAUUGAACUGCACAAAGUCAGAAAGUUUUAGAGGGUCCCUGUGGUGAGACAUACCCAGCAAGUCAUGAUGCAAACCAGGCCAUGAAUAUAAAAGCUGAGGAAGUCUCAGAUGCAGAAGAGGUAGCGGAUCCUUUGCAAACUACAGUUCAGGAGAUAAAGGCUGAACCUGAGAGAAACAGCCGCUUGGUGUACCUGAUGCAGCAGAGGGACUGACAUGCAGAAGGCAAUGCAGAGCCAUGUGGAAAGGAUGGAUGAGGAGACCUCGGGGAAUAAGAAAUGUGACCGAGAAAGCAGAUGAGCAGGACGACAGUGAGACUGUUAACAUGACCAAGAAGCCUGUACCUUAACUGAAGGAGAAGAAAAACUUCGGAGUUUAAAAUUGGUAGCGUAUAUAACUCAGAAAUGGUAGGUUUUUGGACUUUGUUCAUUGUCCAGUGUUCAAAAAAAACUAGAACAUACCAUUUCAGAGACUGGAUCUUUUUCUGGCCUCUGGUGAAGGGGGAGGGAGGAGACCUAUUCUGCUGUGUCCAUUAGAAAGAGUUCUUUCUAGCCAGAUGAUGGACAGAGUCCAAAAGUCGAGCGAUUCCAGAAACCUUUAGAAUCUUCAGUUGUGUGUGUGUUCUUGCGAGCGUGUGUUAUUUAGGGUUUAUUUUACAAUCAUCUUAGUAUUUUGGCUACGUAGCAUCAGUUGGAAUAAUGCUUGAUAAAUGGUGAACUAAAGAAUAACAUGGAAAGGGUCAGUCAGUAUAGCCAGUGUCCCUCCCGAUAAUCGAAUGGAGCACCUCCUGGAUAAAUUGUUUCACAUCUGUUAUGUUCGUUGUUGAAAUGGAUGAGGAAGCCUGGAUGUCAUCAUGCUCUGUGUUUGUAGUUUUGAAUAUAUGGUCUUAAUGGAAUAUCGAGAUAAUGUCAGCACAGUACAGUAGACCUAAGCCUGCGUGUUCAGUAGAGGGCUCUAAAAUAUGCCAGUCAGACUUGCCGGGUUGCCACAUUUACAUAAAUUAGCUCACAUAUGCUUUUGGCUCGGAUAUUAUAAACUGUGUGGCAACAGAAGGCUGCGCAAGUUGUGUCCAUUUCACAGUCAUUGUGUUUCAACUGUUUGCAUGCUGAGUCUUCAUAGCUAACCUGCCCAAGACAGGCUACAGAAGCACAGUUCUUCCUCCUCGACAUUGUGGGGUCAAAUAGCAUGCACCCUUCAAGUAAGUUAAGGGUAACGGUAAAGUUGUCCAAGCACUAUGCCAUGAAGACAUGGGGGAUUGGAGGGGAUUGGAUGUAUAGCCCCACCAUUCUUCACUUCGUCACUAGAUGGAGAUGAGUGGUGAGCUUCAUGCCCCAAUCCCCUUUACCCUGUUGGAAGAGCCCAAGGUACCAAUUGGAUAGGAGGCGCCAUUGGGACACAACUAAGAUUUUGUUCAUUCAAAGACCAUUAAUCUGUUUGGAAAUACGCUCUGUUCAAUGAGAGGAAGUGUCAGUGUGUCUGAGUAGGUGCCACAACUGUCUCUGAAAUUUUCCACAAUUUUACCCUCACACAUCAUCCAGGUAAGGGCACUUGUACUUCGUGGACACUGUGCACAUUUUCAGUUUACUAUAUUGAACGGAAUUUGUGCAGGUUAUACAUAGAAUUUUACCACUACAAAAUGGCUGGUAUGUCACAUGAAUGAUUCUACGUAAACAUUAGAUGUAGAUUUUGUUACUAAUCAUCUUCCUGCUACGCCAGAUUUUGUUACUAAUAUCUUCCUGCUACGCCCUGAGGUGUAUAAUGUGGUCCAGGGGUGCAUCAAUGGACUGUCUAGUGUCCUUAUAUGCCCUCUACAAUUAUAUACUUUCCAUAACUUUUGUGACUGAGAACUACCAGAUAGAAUUUAUUAUGUAAAUUCUUCAA